rnacentral:rRNA from 1 species
UACGUAGGGUGCAAGCGUUUAAUCGGAAUACUGGGCGUAAAGCGUGCGCAGGCGGUUUUGUAAGUCUGACGUGAAAUCCCCGGGCUUAACCUGGGAAUUGCGUUGGAGACUGCAAGGCUGGAGUCUGGCAGAGGGGGGUAGAAUUCCACGUGUAGCAGUGAAAUGCGUAGAGAUGUGGAGGAACACCGAUGGCGAAGGCAGCCCCCUGGGUCAAGAUUGACGCUCAUGCACGAAAGCGUGGGGAGCAACAGG